rnacentral:rRNA from 1 species
UACGUAGGGGGCAAGCGUUGUCCGGAAUGACUGGGCGUAAAGGGAGUGUAGGCGGCCUUUUAAGUUGAAUGUGUAAUCCUGGAGCUUAACUCCAGUGCUGCAUUCAAUACUGGGAGGCUAGAGUGUGGGAGAGGUAAGUGGAAUUCCUAGUGUAGCGGUGAAAUGCGUAGAUAUUAGGAGGAACAUCAGAGGCGAAGGCGACUUACUGGAACAUAACUGACGCUGAGGCUCGAAAGCGUGGGGAGCAAAC